UAGCAGCACAUCAUGGAUUGCG
rnacentral:miRNA from 1 species